AUUGAACGCUGGCGGCAGGCCUAACACAUGCAAGUCGAGCGGCAGCGGGAAACUAGCUUGCUACUUUUGCCGGCGAGCGGCGGACGGGUGAGUAAUGCCUGGGGAAUUGCCCAGUCGAGGGGGAUAACAGUUGGAAACGACUGCUAAUACCGCAUACGCCCUACGGGGGAAAGCAGGGGACCUUCGGGCCUUGCGCGAUUGGAUAUGCCCAGGUGGGAUUAGCUAGUUGGUGGGGUAAUGGCUCACCAAGGCGACGGUCCCUAGCUGGUAUGAGAGGAUGGUCAGCCACACUGGAACUGAGACACGGUCCAGACUCCUACGGGAGGCAGCAGUGGGGAAUAUUGCACCAUGGGGGGAACCCUGAUGCAGCCAUGCCGCGUGUGUGAAGAAGGCAUUCGGGUUGUAAAGCACUUUCAGCGAGGAGGAAAGGUUGAUGCCUAAUACGUAUCAACUGGGACGUUACUCGCAGAAGAAGCACCGGCUAACUCCGUGCCAGCCGCCGCCGUAACAC
rnacentral:rRNA from 1 species